GACCGCGUAGCUCAAUUGGAAGAGCAUUGGGCUUAAUGGGCUAGUACUCCAAAGGUCGUAGGUUCGAUUCCCACCGUGGCCA